UUCUCUCCCCAACACUCCCUCUGGAUUUGGUUUCAUCCCACAGGAUGAGGCUGGAAUUCUGGGCAUUGGCCAUUUUGACUUUGAUUAAAGGUAAAAACACAGUGCUGAAUUCUUCCUCACGGUUACUGCUUCCUGAGAAGUUCAGUGGCAAGAAGCUCUGUUCUGCUGCAUCCUAAUCCUCCAGCGCGCUCUGGUGGUCCAGUGCCUGACACUUGGUGAGCUCAGUCAAAGCGACUCUGCCUUCCUCGUCCUGCUAACAGCUGGGCUGGAGCCACCAUCACCAUGGAUGCCACCCCUGUCCUUGGAAUGUCACCAUCGUUCCACAUGGCGGAGCACCCGUCAGCUCAGUUACCCGAGGUCGACUGGAGUGCGAAAUUUUUAAUGGAAAAUCCCAUUAAAGGAAACAAACAAUUCUUAAGUUUUAAACUGUGCGGCAUGCUGAGUAGCACGAGGUACUGCCCCAUCUGGGAUCCCCAACCAUCGACAUUGUCAUGGCUUGAAGAUGCAGGAUCCGCUGAAGCAGAUGAUCCUCCUCUGGGUCAUCACAGGUCAGUAGCGGCCUAACACUGUGUCACCAUGCCUGUGUCAUUCACCUCACCUCAUCUCAUCACAUAGGCAUUUUAUCCUCUCACAUCGCAAGAAGCAUGAGUACAGUACAAUAAGAUCAUUUGAGAGAGAGACCAAAUUCACAUAACUUUUAAUAUUUUUAUAAUUUUUCUAUUUUAUUAUUGUUAACAUCUUGCUGUGUGUAAUUUAUAAAUCACACUUUAUCAUAGGCAUUUAUAUUUCAGGAAAAAAAGCAGUAUAUAUAGGAUUUGGUACUAUUUGUGGUUUCUGGCAUCACUUGGGUUUCUUAGAACGUCUCCCUCUUGGAGAUGGCUAUGUGACAACAGGCAGAGGAUUGAGCAUCUCAAAACUCUGGAGAAUGCUCUAUCUAGAGAAGGGGUAGUUUAGGGGGUAGAGUCACGGGCGAUGAGAGAGGCACUUCCGGGGCUUCCACAGACCACCAAGGCUUUAUUUCCUAACCUGGGGAGUAUUGGCACAUAGAUGUUUGCUUCAUUACUAUUGGAAUUAUGCAUGGUUGAAUAUAUUCUUCUGAUUCUAGUUCUCAAUUUCCAAAAAAAAAAGUCAAAUUUGAAUUACUUCGUCCCGGCCUUUCAAUAAUGCAGGCUGUUGGUGCCCAGCUCAUUCAACUGCGGAUUCUCUUUCAGAAGAUCUAAAUCUAGCCCAGAAAUCUAUAUGUUAAUAUCUUCCCCUGGUGAUUUUUGGUGUUUCUGUCACUUGAAACUGCUGCAAGUUGGAGUGAGCAAGAGUUGAUGUGAUACCUCUUAGUGUAGAGACAGAUGCAGGGAGGGCCGAGAGCAUAAAGCAGCCCACCCUGGCACAUCUGCAGACAGCCACCCCCAUCCCCCAAAUCCUUAAGUUCCCUUUAUACAAAAGUCUAGUAUGUAACUUAUAUCUCUGUAUCCUUUCUAUAACUUGAAAAUGUGGAGUCCUGUAAUGCAAACUCCCAGCGCCUCUCAGCUGCAAUAGAGGCCCUCCAACUUGUAAAUCCGCAAGGCAUUGAACAUCUGGACAGAGCAUGUGCCUUGGAAAAAGUGUGCUUCUUGGUAUCCAUGGUGUCUGCAGCAAAGCAAAACUGUGCAAGGGGUGGAAUAUGGAAACACAUUGGACAGAACCCUUAUUAAAGGGUGUAAAGUGUCACUGAGAGCCUCUGCUCUUUUACUGCAGGAGGGUUAUAAAUAUUAAUAAGGGCCUUCGUGAGUUCUCUCAUCACAUGGGUUUCCCCCAACUGUUUUUUCCAUAAAGUCUUAAGUUGCGAAUCCUCCUGGUAUUUGGAAAGGAAUACAGUAAAAUCAGGAAAUAGAGCAGAAUUGGUCCACAUACACGCCAGCCUUUGGGUCCCAAGUCACUCUCAAAGAUGUGCCCCCACCCGCAAGUCUGCUCCUUUGAAGCCUUCCUCAAGCAUUCCUCCAAGCCCUGGGAUUCUCUUUGGUAUUAGAAACUGAUGUAAGCCAAUGUGUCAGAGUCCUGGUAACUCUCGGGGGCCUCCAACUAUCAGAGGUGGGCAAGCUGAGUUCUCUCUCCUUCAUGCUGGCUACCACACGGUGUGCUAUGAAAGCAAUUCUCAGACCGCUAAUUCAAAAUCGACAGGGCAGAGUUCCUACUGCGGCUCAGUGGGUUAAGAACCCAACC